AACGCUGGCGGCGUGCCUAAUACAUGCAAGUAGAACGCUGAAGACUUUAGCUUGCUAAAGUUGGAAGAGUUGCGAACGGGUGAGUAACGCGUAGGUAACCUGCCUACUAGCGGGGGAUAACUAUUGGAAACGAUAGCUAAUACCGCAUAACAGCAUUUAACCCAUGUUAGAUGCUUGAAAGGAGCAAUUGCUUCACUAGUAGAUGGACCUGCGUUGUAUUAGCUAGUUGGUGAGGUAACGGCUCACCAAGGCGACGAUACAUAGCCGACCUGAGAGGGUGAUCGGCCACACUGGGACUGAGACACGGCCCAGACUCCUACGGGAGGUAGCAGUAGGGAAUCUUCGGCAAUGGGGGCAACCCUGACCGAGCAACGCCGCGUGAGUGAAGAAGGUUUUCGGAUCGUAAAGCUCUGUUGUAAGAGAAGAACGUGUGUGAGAGUGGAAAGUUCACACAGUGACGGUAACUUACCAGAAAGGGACGGCUAACUACGUGCCAGCAGCCGCGGUAAUACGUAGGUCCCGAGCGUUGUCCGGAUUUAUUGGGCGUAAAGCGAGCGCAGGCGGUUUAAUAAGUCUGAAGUUAAAGGCAGUGGCUUAACCAUUGUUCGCUUUGGAAACUGUUAGACUUGAGUGCAGAAGGGGAGAGUGGAAUUCCAUGUGUAGCGGUGAAAUGCGUAGA
rnacentral:rRNA from 1 species